GUUAGCUCGCAUUCGCCGACUCGCCGGCGUGAGUUACAGAGGAGCAGCCACACCACAGAUCCCCGCUCACGGCCACUACGUGCACCAUCCGCCGUCGCGUCGCGAGCUCCGCUUGGCCGCGCACUGCGGUAGUCACACGUGAGCUCUGCCGACACCCAGUGCGUACGGUCGACCUGCGAGCCACCUGCACCGCGUUGAACCUCUCCAUGGCCUCGUGCUCGCUACCGCAGUGUCGCGCGUGGCCAGCGUUGGCUGUCGCCAUGGCUGCGGAGCGGGGCAAGAUCCACAGAGCUGCGCAUGGGGUGAGCAUAUCGGCCCCAUGUUGCUAAAUUCUGGCCGGCUAUAGUUUGGGUUGAGCGGCGGAGAUGGCAAAUUUCAACACCGCAGGUGGCUCAGCAAUGACAUGUGAAGAAGGAUAUGUGGGAGCUUUUGGAUGGUGAUUGACAAAGGCACCAACAAGGAAGAUCAGAGAGUUGCAUUUCCUUAGUAGCAGUUCUAACUGUCUCUUCUAUACCUUGUAGACCAUAAUGAAAUAAUUAGGACGCUACGGAACUGGAGUUCUACCACUAUAUGUAUCUUUACUGUCUGCGACCAAGAUGUGUGUUUUCUCCCGUUUGUAUAUUUAUUUGUAUCGUGUGAUCCACUUGCGUA